rnacentral:rRNA from 1 species
AAGUAGGACGCACAGUUUAUACCGUAGCUUGCUACACCAUAGACUGUGAGUUGCGAACGGGUGAGUAACGCGUAGGUAACCUGCCUAUUAGAGGGGGAUAACUAUUGGAAACGAUAGCUAAUACCGCAUAACAGUAUGUAACACAUGUUAGAUGCUUGAAAGAUGCAAUUGCAUCGCUAGUAGAUGGACCUGCGUUGUAUUAGCUAGUAGGUAGGGUAAAGGCCUACCUAGGCAACGAUACAUAGCCGACCUGAGAGGGUGAUUGGCCACACUGGGACUGAGACACGGCCCAGACUCCUACGGGAGGCAGCAGUAGGGAAUCUUCGGCAAUGGGGGGAACCCUGACCGAGCAACGCCGCGUGAGUGAAGAAGGUUUUCGGAUCGUAAAGCUCUGUUGUUAAGGAAGAACGAGUGUGAGAAUGGAAAGUUCAUGCUGUGACGGUACUUAACCAGAAAGGGACGGCUAACUACGUGCCAGUAGCCGCGGUAAUACGUAGGUCCCGAGCGUUGUCCGGAUUUAUUGGGCGUAAAGCGAGCGCAGGCGGUUAGAAAAGUCUGAAGUGAAAGGCAGUGGCUCAACCAUUGUAGGCUUUG